AACGCAUCUUGCGCUCUCUGGUAUUCCGGAGAGCAUGUCUGUUUGAGUGUCACGUUUCUCUCACCCCUCAUCACUUGCUUUGGCUUGUUUUGAGCGUGUGGAUCUUGGCUGUUGGCUGCGCCUCUGUGCCAGGCCCCGCCGAAAUGAAGCUCCUUUAAUUUUUAGACCAUGAGCGCUAGAGUGUUGUAGUGCAAUCGCUCGAGCUCUAGGUCGAACUUGUCUCGACCUCAAAUCAGGCAGGAUUACCCGCUGAACUUAA
rnacentral:misc_RNA from 1 species